rnacentral:rRNA from 1 species
AUACAAUGGAGAGUUUGAUCCUGGCUCAGGAUGAACGCUAGCGGGAGGCCUAACACAUGCAAGCCGAGCGGUAUUUGUCCUUCGGGACAGAGA